CACGCCAGCGGGCGUGACAGGCCGUUCCCUCCGCCCGGUGACCUCUGUCCGACUUGGGGCUGGCGAGCAGCCGCCGGGGGUGGAAUCCGUGCUGUGCAGGGCACACGGGCUGUGGUCACGGGAGGCGUCGCCCCGGGGAGAGGCGGCGGCGGGCGCAGGGAGGGGGGCGAGUAGGCUGAGUACAGAGGGUUUGGGCGCCGAAAUGACUGUGUGAAGCCGUCGUGGUGAACACAUGUCAUUACACACCCGGGCAAACCUGCACUUAGAAUGCACGGCCCGGGAGGGAGCCCCGCGGUCAACGAUGAGCUUGGGGUGUCAUGACGUGUCCGUGCAGGCUCAUCCUUGGUCAACUACCCUCCUGGAGGUGGCCGACACCCCAAAUCCGACGGAGCCCCUGUGAAUGAACCCGGCGUGGCCAGCUCUGCACACCUGCCUCCGUAGGGGAGGAGAGGAGGCGAGUCCCCAGGAGCUCUGCACCCCCCGGGCGGGCGGGAGGACGCAGCCCUGAGCGCCCGGGACAGCGCCGUUGGGUGCGGACCUGGUGCCACAGGGGCCCGAGCAGCACCUGCUCUGCCUUCAGCCACGUGUGUCAACUAUUUCCUUUCCUACUCAAGAGAAAAUACGAAUUCUUUGAUGACGGAGGAGCGAGCUGCGUGCAAUGGUGUCCGAGGGAGUCGGAAGAGCAGGGGGUUCCACUGGAACGAAGGGUCUGUGGAGUCCCAGUCCAGAGGCCAGGACCCCGGCCCCCCGUCGCCCACCGCACAGCCGUCACCAGCUGCCAGCGUUCCUGUCUUUGGGAACUCAGCUCAGGUCACUUCCUACAUAGACCUUCUCCGUCGCUCCCGCACCUGGAUGGCUGCUCACUUCCUUGACCUUUUCCCUCUGGUGCCAGUUUAGCUGUGUUUGCGUUUUUUUUUUUUUGUUUUAUCCUUUUGGAGUGUAAGGUUCUAGAUGUUGCAGUAGAAACUGCAUCUUACAUGGCUUGCAUCCCUUGUAGCAUCUUAAACAAAAUAAGCACUCAUUCACACAUUCACUCAUUCAUUCAUUCAAGUGAAAUUGGCCAACGGGCUGCUCUGUGCCUGGUGCUGCUGUAGGUGCUCGGGGUAUAGAAUGAAAGUCUCUGUUUUUAUUGAGCUCUUUUGGUGUUAGAAUUGCCGCUUCUUUGAUUAACGUAUUGAUU